rnacentral:tRNA from 10 species
GCCUUUGUAGCUCAGUCGGUAGAGCAAGGGACUGAAAAUCCCUGUGUCGGCGGUUCGAUUCCACCCGAAGGCACCA